GGAGGGAGAAGGGAGGGGAGGACGACAGGAGGAAAGAGGAAAGACAGAGGGAGGAGGGAGGGGAGGACAGGUUUUAUUUGCCAAUUUGACAGCCGAGCAAACCGAGGCUCUAGGAGGUUGAGUGACAAGCCAAAGACUGUCCAGAUGGUGAGUGGCGGAGUCAGGACCAGGCCACAGGUCCCCUGACUCCAAUCCUGAUGGUUUUCACUCCGGUGCCUUGUCCUCCUCUACCCUGGCCCUGGCCCUGAGACACUGGGAGGUCACCUGACGCGGCAGGGCUCUCGGCAGGUGUCGGUAAGUGACAGGGAGAUGCGAGGGUCAGUCACAACCCCCACGAGCGCUGUCUCUGUUCCUGAGUAUCAAUCUGGGCACUCAGUUCCCACCCCUGAGGCUACUGGAAGUUCCCCAGUUCCUCUCUGCCUCCUUGGGGCCAGGCUAGGGCACUUGGCAAAGUCACUGUGCCAGAAAAUGUGAUGUUGGGAACACACACCUGGGUGGCUGCCAUCCCCAGCCCAGCCACAGCCUGGGUGCUAGGCCCUCUUUCAGCUCCCAGCUGAGAGCCUCAGUCUCUGAUUUUGCAGUUCACAGGAGCCAUUCAGAACGCCCUGCCUCUGAGAGGUGAGGAAAUAACACCGUGGCCUCCACUGGGGGGUGCUCAGCUUCUUCCAUUCCUGGACCCUGCAGGCUGGUGAGCUGACCUGGGGCAGCUUACAAAAUUUGGGCAACUUAUGUCUUCUGGGAAAAAUUCCAUGGUUCAGGAAACAUGGAAAUAGAGAGAAAGCGAUGAUAUGUUUUGAAUAUCUAUAAGGUGCCAGGCACGAGAAGGGGUAUUUUCCAUGUUUUUUCUCAUAUAACUUCACAACCCCAGGGUUGAUUCUAUGAUGCUCCUAACUUAACAAUGAAGGAAAAAUUGCUCUCUGAACAACAAAGUUCAGAGAGGUUAGGCAAUUUGUCUGAAGACACACAGCUGACAAGUGGGAGUCUGGACUCAAACCCGGGGCCAUGUGGCUUCAAUGCUGACCGUCUGAUGCUGCUGCUUCCAUGUGGACUCAUGGUGGGGAGGAAAGGGGGAGCUGGAAUGAAGAUCCAGCCCCUUCCUGUGUCCCUGGGCCCAGGAGGUGACAGAUGCUAGUGGCAGAAAUGGGGUGAUAGCGGUGGAAGGAGGAGAGGCAGUUAAACAGCAUUUCCCGACACCUCCACCUCUGUGGGCUUGCCAUGGUAGCAGGCAGGCCGUGUUGGAUGUGGUGACGUGGAGAGCUUGCUCUGGGUCUACAGUCCUCAGAGGCUCACACCCAGGAGCCUCGAAGAAUGCAGACACCAGGGACCACUGAUUCCACCCAGAGCUGUUUCCCAGGAGACCAAGCCCAUGCACCCGCUGGAGAGAGCAUCCUUGUUGAGGGGAGGCUGUCAUGGAGGGCAGUGCCGCUUCUCUGAGACUGUAUGCAGGUUAACCGCGAUGGAGGCCCGAGGCACAGACACCACGGGAGGGAGUUUCCAUCGCUGUUCUGCACCUAUUGCUGCCGCACGCUACGGUGGCUGUGUGUUGCCCAACCUUUGCCCAGCUGGAGAAGGAGGAGCGCUACUGGUUCCAGUGCGGGGAGGCCAGGUAUGCUGCUAAACACCUACAGCACAGAGGACAGCUCCUGUGACAGAGGAUCCGGCCCCAGUGUCAGCAGUGCUACAGCUGUGACCCUGAGCCCUGCAUGUCUAAUACAGACCAGGUGUUCAGUGAGCCUGUGCUGGAAGAAUGAAUGAGGGAACAGCAGCACACCCAGCAGGCGGGUGACUUGUAGCCCGUGUGUGUGUCUCAGCAGCAAAAGGGUCAAAAGUCACUGAACUAAGUAAGCUCCACAAGGCUCUUCUGGCUGGAAACCCCUCCUCAAGGCUCUUCUGGCUGGAAACCCCUCCUCAAGGCUCUUCUGGCUGGAAACCCCUCCUCCAGCAAGGACCCUCCAUGAGGCCACACCGACCCACCGUCAGCGUGGAAGCUAUGGGCAGAGGCUUUCCGGGGUUUGUAUGACAGAGAGUGAGAGGUGGGAGGAGUGUUCCAGAACAGUCAGGCCCCAUUUUCAGAUGAGGAGACAGAGGCCCACCAGGCCCCCUCCCCUGCACAUUGCUGUUCCAGUUUAGCUGUGGCUUCCUCGCCUCUGACACUCAGGGUCUGGUGACCUGAGGCCCCUUCCUACUCGGCACUUCUGUCACUAUGUCCUGGAAAUCCUCAGAGUCUGGGCUGUUGGUGGAGACUGACACAGGGGAUUUAUUUUAAAGAUCUGCUGAUUUUCCUACUGAGACUUUUUGAAGGGCCUCUUCCUGAAUGAUUGGAGAGUAAGCACCAGCUGUGAAGCAGACACAGGGCGAGAACAUGUCUGUGAUGGACACAUGUCUGUGUGCCCCCAAAAUACAUAUGAUGAAGACAUAAUCCUCUGUGUAAACAAUGCUAUUUGGAGACAGGGCCUCUGGGAAGUGAUUAGGUUUAGAUGAGGUUGUGAGGGUCAUGAUCAGACCAAUGCCCUUGUAAGAAAGGACCAAAAAACUGGUGCCCUCUCUCUCCACCAUGUGAGCAUUUUAAUAGAAUGAUCUGGCCCCAAUGUCAGCAGUGCAAAGGCUGAGAAACCCUGCCCUGGUGUGAGGGGCAGCUGAUGCUACACCCAUAACCCUUGGUGCUCCUGAGUUAUGCCCUGUGGAACUUGCAUGAAGAAGCCGGCCAUCUGCAAGCCAGGAAGAGGGACCUCACCAGGAACUGAGUCCAGCGACACCUUAAUCUUGGACUUCCCAGCCUCCAGAACUAUGAGAAGUUCACAUCUGUGAUCUAAACCACCCAGUCUAUCAUAUUUUAUGACGUCAGCCCAAGCUGACUCCAACAACCCCCUUACCUGCCCCUUCCAAAUCUGCAUGGUUCCAAUAUAAAGGAUUUCCCCUGACUAGUGGACAGAAGAGCUCCUAUGUUCCACCUUGGCCGUGAUCCGGGGAGUGAGAUGCAAUACUCAGGAGCUGUGCACGUCUUAAGCCUCAUUUUCUACAACUAUAAAAGGCA
rnacentral:lncRNA from 10 species